GACGAACGCUGGCGGCGUGCUUAACACAUGCAAGUCGAACGGAAAGGCCCUGCUUUUGUGGGGUGCUCGAGUGGCGAAGGGGUGAGUAACAGGUGAGUAACCUGCCCUUGACUUUGGGAUAACUUCAGGAAACUGGGGCUAAUACCGGAUAGGAGCUCCUGCUGCAUGGAGGGGGUUGGAAAGUUUCGGCGGGUGGGGAUGGACUGGCGGCUGAUCAGCUUGUUGGUGGGGGAGUGGCGUACCAAGGCUUUGAAGGGUAGCCGGCCUGAGAGGGUGACCGGGCACAUUGGGACUGAGAUACGGCCCAGACUACUACGGGAGGCAGCGGUGGGGAAUAUUGUACAAUGGGCGGAAGCCUGAUGCAGCAACGCCGCGUGCGGGAAGACGGCCUUCGGGUUGUAAACCGCUUUCGCCUGUGACGAAGCGUGAGUGACGGUAAUGGGUAAAGAAGCACCGGCUAACUACGUG
rnacentral:rRNA from 1 species